GUGCCCGGCUGGGCAGCACAGACACUCGAACUGGAACAAUACAGAGAUGAUUGGCAUGGGAGCUGCCAAAGAUGGCACGCACAUUCAUGAAGUGUUUCAUAGUUUU